UGGCUCAGACAGUAAAAGCAUCUGCCUGCAAUGCGGGAGACCCAGGUUCGAUCCCUGG
rnacentral:tRNA from 1 species